rnacentral:snRNA from 1 species
CUUGUAGCAAAAAGAUUGUUUGA